rnacentral:rRNA from 1 species
AAGCCAUGCGAGUCAUUGUAGCAAUACAAGGCAGACGGCUCAGUAACGCGUAGUCAAUCUACCCUGUUGACGGGGAUAACCUCGGGAAACUGAGAAUAAUACCCGAUAGAACAUUAUGCCUGGAAUGGUUUAUGUUUCAAAUGAUUUAUCGCAAUAGGAUGGGACUGCGGCCUAUCAGUUUGUUGGUGAGGUAAUGGCCCACCAAGACUAUUACAGGUACGGGCUCUGAGAGGAGUGGCCCGGAGAUGGGUACUGAGACACGGACCCAGGCCCUAUGGGGCGCAGCAGGCGAGAAAACUUUGCAAUGUGCGAAAGCACGACAAGGUUAAUCCGAGUGGUUUCUGCUAAAGAAACCUUUUGUCAGUCCUAGAAACACUGAUGAAUAAGGGGUGGGCAAGUUCUGGUGUCAGCCGCCGCGGUAAAACCAGCACCUCAAGUGGUCAGGAUGAUUAUUGGGCCUAAAGCAUCCGUAGCUUGUUUUGUAAGUUUUCGGUUAAAUCCAUACGCUUAACGUAUGGGCUGCCGGGAAUACUGCAUAACUAGGAAGUGGGAGAGGUAGACGGUACUCGGUAGGAAGGGGUAAAAUCCUUUGAUCUAUUGAUGACCACCUGUGGCGAAGGCGGUCUACCAGAACACGUUCGACGGUGAGGGAUGAAAGCUGGGGGAGCAAACCGGAUUAGAUACCCGGGUAGUCCCAGCUGUAAACUAUGCAAACUCAGUGAUGCAUUGGCUUGUGGCCAAUGCAGUGCUGCAGGGAAGCCGUUAAGUUUGCCGCCUGGGAAGUACGUACGCAAGUAUGAAACUUAAAGGAAUUGGCGGGGGAGCACCACAAGGGGUGAAGCCUGCGGUUCAAUUGGAGU